GUGGGUAUAGCUCAGUGGUAGAGUACAUGCCUAGCAUGCACAAGGUUUUGGAUUCAAUUCCCAGUACCUCCU
rnacentral:tRNA from 1 species